CCUACGGGAGGCAGCAGUGGGGAAUAUUGCACAAUGGGCGAAAGCCUGAUGCAGCGACGCCGCGUGAGGGAUGACGGCCUUCGGGUUGUAAACCUCUUUCAGCAGGGAAGAAGCGAGAGUGACGGUACCUGCAGAAGAAGCGCCGGCUAACUACGUGCCAGCAGCCGCGGUAAUACGUAGGGCGCAAGCGUUGUCCGGAAUUAUUGGGCGUAAAGAGCUCGUAGGCGGCUUGUUGCGUCGGUUGUGAAAGCCCGGGGCUUAACCCCGGGUCUGCAGUCGAUACGGGCAGGCUAGAGUGUGGUAGGGGAGAUCGGAAUUCCUGGUGUAGCGGUGAAAUGCGCAGAUAUCAGGAGGAACACCGGUGGCGAAGGCGGAUCUCUGGGCCAUUACUGACGCUGAGGAGCGAAAGCGUGGGGAGCGAACAGGAUUAGAUACCCUGGUAGUCCACGCCGUAAACGUUGGGAACUAGGUGUUGGCGACAUUCCACGUCGUCGGUGCCGCAGCUAACGCAUUAAGUUCCCCGCCUGGGGAGUACGGCCGCAAGGCUAAAACUCAAAGAGUAGUGACGNGAGAGAGCGACGAGCACACGGAGGAGAG
rnacentral:rRNA from 1 species